rnacentral:sRNA from 1 species
UUUACGCCUAGGCUUAGCGGCUGAAAACCAGAAACCUCACUGGCUGGCGUGAAUGUUUUUUUGAGG